rnacentral:rRNA from 1 species
UCAGAACGAACGCUGGCGGCAGGCUUAACACAUGCAAGUCGAACGGUUGUAGCAAUACAGCAGUGGCGCACGGGUGAGUAACGCGUGGAUAUCUGCCUUUGGUUCGGAAUAACUCCGGGAAACUGGAGCUAAUACCGGAUGGUUCCUGCGGGAUAAAGAUUUAUCGCCAAAAGAUGAGUCCGCGUACGAUUAGCUAGUUGGUGAGGUAAUGGCUCACCAAGGCGACGAUCGUUAGCUGGUCUGAGAGGACGAUCAGCCACACUGGGACUGAGACACGGCCCAGACUCCUACGGGAGGCAGCAGUGGGGAAUAUUGGACAAUGGGGGCAACCCUGAUCCAGCCAUGCCGCGUGAGUGAUGAAGGCCUUCGGGUUGUAAAGCUCUUUUGGCGGGGACGAUGAUGACGGUACCCGCAGAAUAAGCCCCGGCUAACUUCGUG